UACGAGUGCCCCAAGCGUUAUCCGGAAUUACUGGGCGUAAAGGGUGUGUAGGUGGUUGUGUUAGUCUUCUGUUAAAUUCUUCGGCUUAACCGGGGGCAUGCAGAAGAAACGGCACAACUAGAGGAUACGAGGGGUCUGUGGAACUCAUGGAGUAGGGGUGAAAUCCGUUGAUAUCAUGGGGAACACCGAAAGCGAAGGCAGCAGACUGGCGUAUUCCUGACACUGAAACACGAAAGCGUAGGUAGCGAAUGGG
rnacentral:rRNA from 1 species